AAGACGCGCCGCGGGCCCCGUGAGUGGACGUGACAGGGCUCAUGGACUCCGGCUAGCCCUCGUCCCACCCGCUGUCCACCUGCACCCCGCCGGGGGAGGGCCUCGCGGUGGGCGCCAUGGUGGACGUGGGCCCGGCGUGCACGAGGUGGAGUUGGUGCCGCCCCCAGAGUGCCUGGUCUUUGGGCGUCGCUGGAGGAGUCCACAGACCCAAAGGGACAUCUACAAGGGAUGCCUCUCUGCACGUGGAACCUGAAGUGGCACUCUGUCACGUACCACUCUCCUUCAUGCCCCCUUAGAGCCCAGGCUGAAGAGAAACGCACAGUCUUGCAAGAGAUGCAGCACAGACAUGUAGGAAAAGCAUAGGAUUUUCAAGCCAGAGUUGCCGGAGUCAGAAGGAUGGAAUGUGAA